ACGCUCGACACCUACGGAGGCAGCAGUGGGGAAUAUUGCACAAUGGAGGAAACUCUGAUGCAGCGAUGCCGCGUGAGGGAAGAAGGUUUUCGGAUUGUAAACCUCUGUCUUUGGGGACGAUAAUGACGGUACCCAAGGAGGAAGCUCCGGCUAACUACGUGCCAGCAGCCGCGGUAAUCUGAGCGGGCUGGCAAGGC
rnacentral:rRNA from 1 species